AACGAACGCUGGCGGCAGGCUUAACACAUGCAAGUCGAGCGCCCCGCAAGGGGAGCGGCAGACGGGUGAGUAACGCGUAGGAAUCUACCCAUCUCUACGGAAUAACGCAUGGAAACGUGUGCUAAUACCGUAUACGUCCUUCGGGAGAAAGAUUUAUCGGAGAUGGAUGAGCCCGCGUUGGAUUAGCUAGUUGGUGGGGUAAAGGCCUACCAAGGCGACGAUCCAUAGCUGGUCUGAGAGGAUGAUCAGCCACACUGGGACUGAGACACGGCCCAGACUCCUACGGGAGGCAGCAGUGGGGAAUAUUGGACAUUGGGCGCAAGCCUGAUCCAGCUAUGCCGCGUGAGUGAUGAAGGCCCUAGGGUUGUAAAGCUCUUUCACCGGUGAAGAUAAUGACGGUAACCGGAGAAGAAGCCCCGGCUAACUUCGUGCCAGCCGCCGCAGUAAAAC
rnacentral:rRNA from 1 species